rnacentral:rRNA from 1 species
AUUGAACGCUGGCGGCAGGCUUAACACAUGCAAGUCGAGCGGGGAAAGGUAGCUUGCUACCUAACCUAGCGGCGGACGGGUGAGUAAUGCUUAGGAAUCUGCCUAUUAGUGGGGGACAACAUUCCGAAAGGAAUGCUAAUACCGCCUACGCCCUACGGGGGAAAGCAGGGGAUCUUCGGACCUUGCGCUAAUAGAUGCGCCUAAGUCAGAUUAGCUAGUUGGUGGGGUAAAGGCCUACCAAGGCGACGAGCUGUAGCGGGUCUGAGAGGAUGAUCCGCCACACUGGGACUGAGACACGGCCCAGACUCCUACGGGAGGCAGCAGUGGGGAAUAUUGGACAAUGGGCGAAAGCCUGAUCCAGCCAUGCCGCGUGUGUGAAGAAGGCCUUUUGGUUGUAAAGCACUUUAAGCGAGGAAGAGGCUACUUGGAUUAAUACUCUAGGAUAGUGGACGUUACUCGCAGAAUAAGCACCGGCUAACUCUGUGCCAGCCGCCGCCGUAA